rnacentral:rRNA from 1 species
GCGCGAAAACUUUACAAUGCUGGCAACAGCGAUAAGGGAACCUCGCGUGCCAGGUCACAAAUCUGGCUGUCGAGAUGCCUAAAAAGCAUUUCAUAGCAAGGGCCGGGCAAGACCGGUGCCAGCCGCCGCGGUAACACCGGCGGCUCGAGUGGUAACCGUUAUUAUUGGGUCUAAAGGGUCUGUAGCCGGCCGGAUAAGUCUCUUGAGAAAUCUGGCAGCUUAACUGUCAGGCUUUCAGGAGAUACUGUCUGGCUCGAGGCCGGGAGAGGUGAGAGGUACUUCAGGGGUAGGGGUGAAAUCUUGUAAUCCUCGAAGGACCACCAGUGGCGAAGGCGUCUCACCAGGACGGACCUGACGGCAAGGGACGAAAGCUAGGGGCACGAACCG